UACGAAGGGGGCUAGCGUUGCUCGGAAUCACUGGGCGUAAAGCGCACGUAGGCGGAUCUUUAAGUCAGGGGUGAAAUCCUGGAGCUCAACUCCAGAACUGCCUUCGAUACUGGCGAUCUUCGAGUCCGGGAGAGGUGAGUGGAACUCCGAGUGUAGAGGUGAAAUUCGUAGAUAUUCGGAAGAACACCAGUGGCGAAGGCGGCUAUCUGGACGGUUUCUGACGCUAAGACGCGAAAGCGUGGGGAGCAAACAGG
rnacentral:rRNA from 1 species